rnacentral:lncRNA from 1 species
AGGAUUCAGCGAGCGGGCCGAUUGCUGGUUUGUAAACAUGUAGUGACAAACUCUUCGAUUGAGUUCCUCCCCGUUCAUCCGUCAGUGAAAUAUGCGGCAGUGGUACGGCAUUGUCCCUAAUUUGCAUGAUUGCUGGAAUUUUGAAAAGGAAAGUAUUAGACGAUGAAGAGAAUUUCUUACAAAAUUCGGUAAUUAAAUUACCUAAUCGGUG